rnacentral:rRNA from 1 species
AUUGAACGCUGGCGGCAGGCCUAACACAUGCAAGUCGAGCGGAUGAAGGGAGCUUGCUCCUGGAUUCAGCGGCGGACGGGUGAGUAAUGCCUAGGAAUCUGCCUGGUAGUGGGGGAUAACGUCCGGAAACGGGCGCUAAUACCGCAUACGUCCUGAGGGAGAAAGUGGGGGAUCUUCGGACCUCACGCUAUCAGAUGAGCCUAGGUCGGAUUAGCUAGUUGGUGGGGUAAAGGCCUACCAAGGCGACGAUCCGUAACUGGUCUGAGAGGAUGAUCAGUCACACUGGAACGUAGACACGGUCCAGGGUACUACGGGAGGCCGCAGUCGGGAAUAUUGGACAAUGGGCGAAAGCAUGAUCCAGCCAGGCCGCGUGUGUGGAGAAGGUCUUCGGAUUGUAAAGCACUUUAAGUUGGGGGGAAGGGCAGUAAGUUGAUACCUUGCUGUUUUGACGGUACCAACAGAAUAAGCACCGGCUAACUACGUG